AAGAUUAAGCCAUGCAUGUCUAAGUAUAAGCAAUUUGUACUGUGAAACUGCGAAUGGCUUAUUAAAUCAGUUAUCGUUUAUUUGAUAGUACCUUACUACAUGGAUACCUGUGGUAAUUCUAGAGCUAAUACAUGCUAAAAACCUCGACUUCGGAAGGGGUGUAUUUAUUAGAUAAAACCAAAUGCCCUUCGGGGCUCCUUGGUGAAUCAUAAUAACUAAGCGAAUCGCAU
rnacentral:rRNA from 1 species